rnacentral:lncRNA from 1 species
CCGUUGAUGUGCCGAGUGAUACGAUACCCGUGUAACCACGACGAAUUCCUUCGGUCAGCUUCGCGUAAUAUUCAUCGUUGGAUUGAAAAUUCGUCGUGACGUCCAUUCAGCGAUUCGACGCAUCGAACCUUGCGGCCACGGUAAAAAUCAGAAUGAUAUUCCUGUGGAGGAGCAAGCGAGAUCGUUCUUCUCGCGAGUCGAUCAAACGGUCAUUGAUAUGCCCUUUGGAGACGAGAGGGAGAAGCUUUUCCCGUCGAGAGUCGAGGGAAGGAUAUUCUUGCGAAGAGAAACCGGGUGCGGAGAAUUCUCUAUGAAUAUCCCGAAGACGUAUCCACUCGAAGGACGGAUGCAAAUGCGGUGGAAUGUGAAAAUAGCUGCCGCUAAGUGAGAUCGAAUUUCGUUAGCUGAUUAAGAAAAAGUUGGACGUAGCCUGUCCGCGAAGAAAUUCUAUAAAUGAACGGCGGAAGGAUAUUUCAGCGUCUCUUCUCACGAAUUUCGAUGAUUUCGAUGCGACACGGUGGUCUCGUUGGCCGCAGUCCAAUCAGAGCUUCGAAAAGAGGUUCUAGACGUCAAAAACCGAGGGCAAGUGGAACCGGGCCUCGUCUUUCGCUAAAGGUCGCACCGAGACCGGGCGAUUCUUCGCCAAUGGGAAAAAUAAAAGAAAAACGUAGCUGCGGGGAGAAGAAAUCUCGCGUAUUUAUCGAUCGAUCGAAAUCACGGCAAGGUGAACAGCCCGAAAGUAUUGGCGCUCGUUGAAAAUUCCUGUCGCAUGUCCCACGGCGCGAUGUCGAGGAAUACGUAAGCUGGUCGCUACAAGCUGGUCCACUCUAUGGAGAAAGAAGGUCGUAAGUCGAUUCGAUGUCAUUUAACGAUAUCAGUUAACAUAUGGGGCGUGAGAAUAUAUACGACAGCAGGUACGCAAAGUGGACUUUGGUACGC